rnacentral:rRNA from 1 species
CAGCACCUCAAGUGGUCAGGAUGAUUAUUGGGCCUAAAGCAUCCGUAGGCGGCUCUGUAAGUUUUCGGUUAAAUCUGUACGCUCAACGUACAGGCUGCCGGGAAUACUGCAGAGCUAGGGAGUGGGAGAGGUAGACGGUACUCGGUAGGAAGGGGUAAAAUCCUUUGAUCUAUUGAUGACCACCUGUGGCGAAGGCGGUCUACCAGAACACGUCCGACGGUGAGGGAUGAAAGCUGGGGGAGCAAACCGGAUUAGAUACCCGAGUAGUCC